rnacentral:rRNA from 1 species
GGCUUAACACAUGCAAGUCGAGGGGCAUCAGGAAGAAAGCUUGCUUUCUUUGCUGGCGACCGGCGCACGGGUGAGUAACACGUAUCCAACCUGCCCUUUACUCGGGGAUAGCCUUUCGAAAGAAGGAUUAAUACCCGAUAGCAUAAUGAUUCCGCAUGGUUUCAUUAUUAAAGGAUUCCGGUAAAGGAUGGGGAUGCGUUCCAUUAGGUUGUUGGUGAGGUAACGGCUCACCAAGCCUUCGAUGGAUAGGGGUUCUGAGAGGAAGGUCCCCCACAUUGGAACUGAGACACGGUCCAAACUCCUACGGGAGGCAGCAGUGAGGAAUAUUGGUCAAUGGGCGGUAGCCUGAACCAGCCAAGUAGCGUGAAGGAUGAAGGCUCUAUGGGUCGUAAACUUCUUUUAUAUAAGAAUAAAGUGCAGUAUGUAUACUGUUUUGUAUGUAUUAUGUGAAUAAGGAUCGGCUAACUCCGUGCCAGCAGCCGCGGUAAUACGGAGGAUCCGAGCGUUAUCCGGAUUUAUUGGGUUUAAAGGGAGCGUAGGUGGACUGGUAAGUCAGUUGUGAAAGUUUGCGGCUCAACCGUAAAAUUGCAGUUGAUACUGUCAGUCUUGAGUACAGUAGAGGUGGGCGGAAUUCGUGGUGUAGCGGUGAAAUGCUUAGAUAUCACGAAGAACUCCGAUUGCGAAGGCAGCUCACUGGACUGCAACUGACACUGAUGCUCGAAAGUGUGGGUAUCAAACAGGAUUAGAUACCCUGGUAGUCCACACAGUAAACGAUGAAUACUCGCUGUUUGCGAUAUACAGUAAGCGGCCAAGCGAAAGCAUUAAGUAUUCCACCUGGGGAGUACGCCGGCAACGGUGAAACUCAAAGGAAUUGACGGGGGCCCGCACAAGCGGAGGAACAUGUGGUUUAAUUCGAUGAUACGCGAGGAACCUUACCCGGGCUUAAAUUGCAGUGGAAUGAUGUGGAAACAUGUCAGUGAGCAAUCACCGCAGUGAAGGUGCUGCAUGGUUGUCGUCAGCUCGUGCCGUGAGGUGUCGGCUUAAGUGCCAUAACGAGCGCAACCCUUAUCUUUAGUUACUAACAGGUUAUGCUGAGGACUCUAGAGAGACUGCCGUCGUAAGAUGUGAGGAAGGUGGGGAUGACGUCAAAUCAGCACGGCCCUUACGUCCGGGGCUACACACGUGUUACAAUGGGGGGUACAGAAGGCAGCUAGCGGGUGACCGUAUGCUAAUCCCAAAAUCCUCUCUCAGUUCGGAUCGAAGUCUGCAACCCGACUUCGUGAAGCUGGAUUCGCUAGUAAUCGCGCAUCAGCCACGGCGCGGUGAAUACGUUCCCGGGCCUUGUACACACCGCCCGUCAAGCCAUGGGAGCCGGGGGUACCUGAAGUACGUAACAAGGAGGAUCGUCCUAGGGUAAAACUGGUGACUGGGGC